rnacentral:rRNA from 1 species
ACGGGUGAGUAACGCGUGGGAAUCUACCGUGCCCUGCGGAAUAGCUCCGGGAAACUGGAAUUAAUACCGCAUACGCCCUACGGGGGAAAGAUUUAUCGGGGUAUGAUGAGCCCGCGUUGGAUUAGCUAGUUGGUGGGGUAAAGGCCUACCAAGGCGACGAUCCAUAGCUGGUCUGAGAGGAUGAUCAGCCACAUUGGGACUGAGACACGGCCCAAACUCCUACGGGAGGCAGCAGUGGGGAAUAUUGGACAAUGGGCGCAAGCCUGAUCCAGCCAUGCCGCGUGAGUGAUGAAGGCCUUAGGGUUGUAAAGCUCUUUCACCGGAGAAGAUAAUGACGGUAUCCGGAGAAGAAGCCCCGGCUAACUUCGUGCCAGCAGCCGCGGUAAUACGAAGGGGGCUAGCGUUGUUCGGAAUUACUGGGCGUAAAGCGCACGCAGGCGGAUAUUUAAGUCAGGGGUGAAAUCCCAGAGCUCAACUCUGGAACUGCCCUUGAUACUGGGUAUCUUGAGUAUGGAAGAGGUAAGUGGAAUUCCGAGUGUAGAGGUGAAAUUCGUAGA